rnacentral:lncRNA from 1 species
UUUAUCUUUAAGAGCAAAUUUCUGGUCAGCUGUGCUUCUGCAACCUAAAAUAUUUAAAGGGAGGUAGGUGUGGGCAGGAGGAGGAAUGAUAAAUUGGGUCAGGGCAAGAAAAAUCUAGCUUCAUAUAAUUUGUCUGGGACUAUACACCCUAUAUAAUGUUAGUUUUACAGAAGUAAUACGACUUUUGAUUGCUACAUACCACAAAGAGUUUAUGAACUGAGAUCAUAAAGGGCAAUUGAUGUGUAAAGAAAGUAGUCAGUACAUCCUGGCUCAUGCUCUGAAAGAAUAUCCAGAGAGGCUCUCUCAAAGAUCAGGGAGAUGUAUUCCCAUGCCAUGCACCCUGCUUCCCAGCAUUUCUGCAUGGUCAAGUGAGCUUUAUGCUCAUGAGCUUUAAGUAUAUAAUUAUCCAGGAUUUUAAAUCCUCAACUUGUUCUAGCUUGUGAUCCUUCAAAGUUGGGUCAUACGUUAGUGCUAGAUACUAGAAAUUUUCACUUUUCCACUGAUCAGAGAGACAGACAUUAAAAACAAAAAUAGAAGAAAGGAAAGCUUUCACCCUGCAGCUUCUUAGCAGGGGACAAUUGUCUUGCCAAAACUUUUUUCCCUUUUCUCUCCCAUUUUCUUUCACCCAAUCCCUUCUUACUCCUUGCCAGUGUGACCAUGCUUUCUUCUCUGUAGAUGUUAACAGUUAAGGCCUAUUUUCCUCAGGCACUUAACCAGCCAAUCAGAACACCACAUCUGUUAGGGGAGGUAACCUGGCCAACAGUGUAUCCAUCACGUUAGCCUGCUGGAGGGAAGGGACCCACAUUCACCUGCCCUCUGGCCUGCCCCUUGAUCCCAUAUCUAUUACCAUGUCCAUAGGAAUAAUAGGUAAGGGCUCUGUCUCUGUCAAGCCAUGUAACAAAGGACACUGUAAAAAAAAAAAAAAAAAGUCUGGCAUCAGAGGGAGCAUGUGGAGAGCAACUUGGGAAGAACAAGUUCAUUUUGUAUUGAAUGAUUUUUAAUGAAUGCAAUAUUAAUCCUUGCAGAUGAGCAAUAAUCAUUAAAAUCGAUUAAAAUGAUAAGACCUUA